rnacentral:tRNA from 1 species
GGCUCCAUAGUGUAAUGGUUAGCACAUCUGCUUUUCACGCAGAAGGUCCUGGGUUCAGCGCCCCAGGUGGAGCCA